rnacentral:rRNA from 1 species
ACGGGGUGCAGCAGGCGCGAAAACUUUACAAUGCGGGAAACCGUGAUAAGGGAACUCUGAGUGCCCGUUAAAUCGGGCUGUCCACCAGUUUAAAAAACUGGUGAAGAAAGGGUCGGGCAAGACCGGUGCCAGCCGCCGCGGUAAUACCGGCGGCUCGAGUGGUGGCCACUAUUACUGGGCUUAAAGCGUUCGUAGCUGGUUUGUUAAGUCUCUGGGGAAAUCUUCCGGCUUAACCGGAAGGCGUCUCAGGGAUACUGGCAGACUAGGGACCGGAAGAGGUGAGAGGUACUCCAGGGGUAGGAGUGAAAUCCUGUAAUCCUUGGGGGACCACCUGUGGCGAAGGCGUCUCACCAGGACGGCUCCGACAGUGAGGGACGAAAGCUGGGGGAGCAAACCGGAUUAGAUACCCGGGUAGUCCCAGCCGUAAACGAUGUGCGUUAGGUGUAUCGGUGACCACGAGUCACCGAGGUGCCGAAGAGAAAUCGUGAAACGUACCGCCUGGGAAGUACGGUCGCAAGGCUGAAACUUAAAGGAAUUGGCGGGGGAGCAC